GGGUUGUGAGGUUAAGUGACUAAGCGUACACGGUGGAUGCCCUGGCAGUCAGAGGCGAUGAAGGACGUGCUAAUCUGCGAUAAGCGUCGGUAAGGUGAUAUGAACCGUUAUAACCGGCGAUUUCCGAAUGGGGAAACCCAGUGUGAUUCGUCACACUAUCAUUAACUGAAUCCAUAGGUUAAUGAGGCGAACCGGGGGAACUGAAACAUCUAAGUACCCCGAGGAAAAGAAAUCAACCGAGAUUCCCCCAGUAGCGGCGAGCGAACGGGGAGCAGCCCAGAGCCUGAAUCAGUGUGUGUGUUAGUGGAAGCGUCUGGAAAGGCGCGCGAUACAGGGUGACAGCCCCGUACACAAAAAUGCACAUACUGUGAGCUCGAUGAGUAGGGCGGGACACGUGGUAUCCUGUCUGAAUAUGGGGGGACCAUCCUCCAAGGCUAAAUACUCCUGACUGACCGAUAGUGAACCAGUACCGUGAGGGAAAGGCGAAAAGAACCCCGGCGAGGGGAGUGAAAAAGAACCUGAAACCGUGUACGUACAAGCAGUGGGAGCCUCUUUAUGGGGUGACUGCGUACCUUUUGUAUAAUGGGUCAGCGACUUAUAUUCUGUAGCAAGGUUAACCGAAUAGGGGAGCCGAAGGGAAACCGAGUCUUAACUGGGCGUUAAGUUGCAGGGUAUAGACCCGAAACCCGGUGAUCUAGCCAUGGGCAGGUUGAAGGUUGGGUAACACUAACUGGAGGACCGAACCGACUAAUGUUGAAAAAUUAGCGGAUGACUUGUGGCUGGGGGUGAAAGGCCAAUCAAACCGGGAGAUAGCUGGUUCUCCCCGAAAGCUAUUUAGGUAGCGCCUCGUGAAUUCAUCUCCGGGGGUAGAGCACUGUUUCGGCAAGGGGGUCAUCCCGAC
rnacentral:rRNA from 1 species